rnacentral:lncRNA from 1 species
ACUCCUGAGGAGCUAUCCCAGAGUCCGCGCGGCCUCGCCUUCCCGGCCCGCUCACCACCCCGCCUCGUCCCACCUCGCCUCGCCCUCCCCGGGCUCUAGCCACUUGGUGCGGCAGGUGUCCUGCAGGCCGGCUCGAGAUUCCCGAGCUCGCCCUCGUGGUGUUCCAGGAACACGGUACUUUGCGCUAGCCUGGCCUGUCCUGAGAGACUGCGGGAGGCGAAGAGAACGCGCUGUUGCUGUGGGAAGCGCCGGGGACGGGACAGCUACACCGCCAAACACUUCGCUAGGGAAAGGGCUGGCUGGUUUCAGUCUCGCUCGGGCACCAGGCUGGAGUGCAGUGGCACGGUCUCGGCUUACUACAACCUCCGCCUUCCGGAUUCAAGUGAUUCUGCUGCCUCAGCCUCCCGAAUAGCUGGGAUUACAGUGUUUCAGAAUCACCUGGGAUGAUCUGCAUGAAGAUUCCUGGCCUCCACCAAAGACUUACUGAAUCAGAAAGGAGGCAAGAGGAUGAGGAAUGCUUAAGAAUCUGCAUUAACAAACUUUACAAAUGAAUCUUACAACAUACAGAAGCAUGGAAACUACUGCCUCAAGGGAUUAUCUCAACUUGAGUUUAAACAUAGGAAUUGCUGACUACCUUUAAAAUGUAAAAAUAGUAUCUUUAUGGGAGGGAUGUUGUUUGGGGGCAGCUACUAAAUAGUGAAAUCAUUCCUUUAAAAUACCCUCUCAAGUCUGCCCCAGUUAUCCAUUUUACUGGAUAGUCUUGGUAUCCAGAUGAUUUAGGGAAAAAAAUAGUAGUAGCAAACUCUGAAAACACUCAGUAAAGUUCAUUCUUGGUCUUCUCUUCCUAAAUUUGUUUUCAAUUGUUAGAUUUAAACACUAAACAAGACCAAAAGAGAACUUUAUUUUACAUGUCUUUAUUUUACAUUUAGAACCGUUUUAUGAUUUACUUAAAAAAAAAAUCUUUUACUAUUAUUAGAAGUAUUUUUUAACCAAAAUCUUGAUUUAGGAAGACUUAAGACAUUGUGCAUUAUUUUAAAUAUUUUCAUUUCAGUAACUAUUAAAAAUAAAUUCACAAUUAGGGUUUCAAAUGUCCUAAUCAUAUCUAGUUUGUUCUCAUUUAAUAUUUUAUCAAUCCCAUCAUGUGCAUACAGAGGUUAAGGUGAUGUAUAAAUUUUAUAUCUUUCAAACACAUUGAUGCUAAUCAGCUCUUGAUCUAAUUACUAUUUCAUUUAUUCAGAAAUAGCAUUUAGACAUAAAAACCAAUGUCUCACUUUGUAAAAUAACCUUUGGCUAAUUUACACACAUCUAAUACAGCGUGUUAUAUAAGUUUUAAGUAAUACAAUGAGUCACUACUAUCAUUCAGUUUUAAAUAUUUUUAGUGUUAACAGGGCUGAGAAUAUCAUGUGGUUCAGUCUUCUGAAGGAAGUUAUAUAAUAAAAGCAUAGUGCCUUUGAACAUGAAGACUAUCCUCAAGGCCAGAAAUCCUACAAAGGAACUGAAAGGAGAGAUUCCAGAGAAUUGCUCUCCUCAUUUUUAAUAUGUAAAGUGACUGUUUUAAGUCACUUCAUUGAAGACUUAAGGAAGAAAACAGUGUUAUUAUGCCACUGAAUAAAGCUACUUAAACCAGAGUAAUUUUGGGAUAUUAAUCCUAGGCUACAUAAUUAAUAGGUCAUCAAAACAAAAACCUGUCAGUUAUUAGGUGUAAGUUAACUUCCUAUGCCAAGUAAGGGGUCACACUUCACUUCCCCCAUUUGUAAAAUGAAAAGGUGGCCAGGCCAGUGCCAUUUAGGAUUCUCUGCUAACUGUAAAAUGUGGACUGAUUUUCUUCUGUUUCUUAUAGUCCAGGUGUAUAUAAACUUCCAGUUCUUUAAGUCAAAAUUUUUAUGCACAUAACCAUGUCAGUGUAUUGCCCUUAGUUUAAAAAUGUACAACUACAUAAAUAAAAACUAUUGUUUCUUCAAUAUUACUUGACAUUUCUUCUGUAAUUUCUUUAUUUAAAAAAGUAAAUGUAACAAGAUACUUAAAAAAGGCUAGAUACAAAAGUAGUUAAGCUGCUCACGAACAUUUAAAAUUUUCCAAAAUGUAUCUUCAAUAAUCAUGAUCUUAUAAAACAUUUUACAGUUAUCAGAAAGUGCCCAGGCUGAGUUUACAUAACUGAAAUACCUUAGUACAAAUGUCUAGUUAGAACUGAAGUGCAGUAACCUCUUGAGACUGACUGCUCAUUGAAAUAGGGAUACAAAGAAAAAGUUGAUUGUGAUAAAAGUAUUGUGCAUUGGCCCCAUCAUAUGUACAAAAAAAGUGCCCUCACUCAAAUGAGCAAAUUACAUGCAAAAUAUUAGUGAUAUCAUUUAAUAUCCUAGAGCUCAAUGCAGUCAAACCGCAAUAAAAGUGGUUUUUAUAGGUAAAAGUGAUUUCAUCUCUUAAGAUCUGAAUGUCGAGAACUUUUUUACAAGUUCCAUAUACAUGAUACACAGUUGCAGCCAACCACAAAUUAAACACCAUAAAAAAAGUUAAAAUGAAAACACAGAACAUACUUAAUUUUUUAUUUUGAAAUUCCCUAUUCCCUCUAUACAAGAACCUUUGCUGAAACAGUUUCCACAAAGGCAGCAGUGAAUUUUCAGAACAUUUACAUUUUUUCCCCCUCAGCAAAAAGAUAAAUCACAGUGUAAAUUAUGUUGUUCUGCUGUCAUCUUUGGCUGGGGUUAGACCCAGAAGUUGGUGACUAGCAAACCAAUAUAGCCAAAUGUUGCUAGUGCUCCUUAGGCCUUUAAGCUAUAAACUCAGCAAGGAAUGUCUGCAUUUUAUCUCUUUAAGGUACCACCAGGGGGGUAUGACAGCAUUAACUUCCAUAAACUUUUAUAGACAAAUGGAAAAAAAUCUACAAAAUUUGCUAGUAAUAUUACACAGCAAUACACACUUUUUAUACUCUACACAAAACCAAAAUUCUUGGUCUUAAUGGCGAGUAACAAUUUCUGUUUGAGAAUCUGUUUAGAGGAAUAGAGUGGGACGUAAAGUCGAGAAAUGCAAGUAUUUGCAGUAGGAAGAUGUUGGUCAUCUGGUGGUCUUAUUGUGAUUGAGGGCAUAGGCUGGAAUCCUUCUUCACUGGCUGGCAGUGAUGGGCUUGAUGUCCAAAAGUAAACCUGAACAGGAAUUUAACAGGUUAAUAUUUAACUCUUAACUCUGGCAGUAUAUACACAAAGCCCUAUUGUUAUGUUAAUAACCUAAAAGGAGAUAUUAUUUUGAACUGGAUUUUAAAUAUAUUUUCUUGUACUAAAAAGGAAAGGGAUCAUUCAUACCUCAAGACAGGUUUUUGUUUUUGUUUUUUUUCCCCAAAGGAGUAAGUCUAGAGUUAGUAGAGGAAAAAAAGGUGACUUUCUGUCACAGAGCCUCAGUAUUUUCAUCUGUAACAUGAGGCUGUUGGACUAAAUGGUUUCUAAGAGCCUUUCUUGCAGCUAAUUCCAUAAAGUGUCUAUUAGUGGAAAAAAGGCUGCCAAACAAAAGAUACGGUCUUAGGUUCAAAACUCACACAGGUUAUCUUAAAAAGUUAUUUUGCAUUAAGGAGCAAAAUAAUGCAAAUAAUAAAAUAAUAAAGCAAAAAAAGUAUUUACUGCUACAUUGUGAUACAGAAUCAUUUUAUAAUAGUAAUUAUUGGGGAACAUCUAUCUAUGCAUCAAAAUUCAUGCAAUAAGCCAUAUUAACACUAAGUUUUAUCAUACCUCUGUAAUAAAACUUUGUGCAACACAGUGUAAAUGAUGCUCAGUAAAUGUGAACUUACACUUUUUAACUUAACCAAGGAUAUGCCUCCCUGAAAUAGUUUGCUGAACAUGUAACAUUCCUCAUCAAUCCAUCCCUUCAUACAUACGCAUCAUUCUUCAGUGUCUGUCUCUCUUAAGGAAAAGCUUUUUUUUUAAUCUAAUCAUUUUAUAAUGCACAACAAUGAAGUAUAUCCAAUUUCCUAGAAUGACUAGGAAACCUAAACAAACUUAAGAUUUCCUGAAGCACAGUUGUAUGGGAAAGCUCAUCUAGAAUUCUAUAUAAAGGGACAGAAAAAAAAAAAAAAAGUUAAGUAUCAGGAUCUAUAAAAUCUGAAAAGAAAUAGAAAACAGGUACUCUAGAGAUGAAGUUGAUCUAAACCACUCAUUUCAUAGAUAAGAAACAAGCUUAAUAUAAAGUGUUUCUCCAAGGAUGAAUGUGGUUAACCAGGGUAGAUGACCUCACUGCUGGAUCUCUAAGAAGUUGGAAGAGAAAUACUUUUACUAGUGAAUUAUAACACUCCAAGAGGGAAAUAAACUGUAGUUUACCCAAUAACUCUGGAAACCCUAUAAGUUGCAGGACUAAUUAAUUCAUGGGAGAACUGUUUCAGAAACCCCAUUCUUAUGUCCUCUAGAUGCAUCAGGAUGAAACCAAACAAUAUGUGAAGGAUGACUUCCCAAAAAGAGGAGAAGGGUAAGGGGGAGGAAGAUACCAUGAUAAACUGCUUACACCCUAAACAUAGAUUUUCAAUAAGAGUUUAAGGUUCACAAACUAAAGCUGUUGACAGGAAAUUUUGAGGUCUUUAUAGAAGGAGAUUUUCUUUUUUCUAAGAUUGAGUCACUAGCAAAUUUUUCUUUCAGUAGAAGGCAGAAACUCAUGAGAUUUAAGUUGGCUGACUGGACUGAGGAAAUACUGGUUUAAAAACGGCAGAAUUGGGAGGCCAAGACAGGCGGAUCAUGAGGUCAGGAAAUCGAGAUCAUCCAGGCUAACAUGGUGAAA